rnacentral:lncRNA from 11 species
AUUCUUGUGAGCUGGGAAAUGAUACAAGAAUACUACAGAUGAAUAAAGCAAUCACCAACAUUAUAUAAAAGUAUCCUGAAGGAGAUUGAUUUAGAGAUAAAAUAUGGGAGGGAAUGAAAGAGAACUUGUUCUAGAAUUUCUAGAACUCUUGGCUUCUAUGAAGAUACAAUGGAAUCAUCCCAAGGGAAUCAUUCUCACUGGCCCAUGAUGGAAACUUGAUUAUGAAGAAAUGAUCACAGGUCUACACCCUUAAUGUGUAUACCAUCGUUAUGCUUAAGAGAACCUUCAAUUUUUGAAUAGAAUGCAAGAAAAGGGAAAAAAAUCCCUUAUCUUAAAAUGUGGCUAGAAGAAACUGUAAACCCGGAAUAAGGUUUGGCUGAAUAAAAACCUUAUACAAUUGCACAUACAUUGUUGUUCUAUGAAUAAAAAACUGCCAAAGCAAUUGGUAUUUGUUUUAAGUAUGAACCCCC